rnacentral:rRNA from 1 species
ACCUCUCGGGGUUACAGCCUUGCUGAAUUAUUCACCCUUGUCUUUUGCGUACUUCUUGUUUCCUUGGUGGGUUCGCCCACCACUAGGACAAACAUAAACCUUUUGUAAUUGCAAUCAGCGUCAGUAACAAAUUAAUAAUUACAACUUUCAACAACGGAUCUCUUGGUUCUGGCAUCGAUGAAGAACGCAGCGAAAUGCGAUAAGUAGUGUGAAUUGCAGAAUUCAGUGAAUCAUCGAAUCUUUGAACGCACAUUGCGCCCUUUGGUAUUCCAAAGGGCAUGCCUGUUCGAGCGUCAUUUGUACCCUCAAGCUUUGCUUGGUGUUGGGCGUCUUGUCUCUAGCUUUGCUGGAGACUCGCCUUAAAGUAAUUGGCAGCCGGCCUACUGGUUUCGGAGCGCAGCACAAGUCGCACUCUCUAUCAGCAAAGGUCUAGCAUCCAUUAAGCCUUUUUUUCAACUUUUGACCUCGGAUCAGGUAGGGAUACCCGCUGAACUUAAGCAUAUCAAUAAGCGG